rnacentral:rRNA from 1 species
AUUGAACGCUGGCGGCAGGCCUAACACAUGCAAGUCGAACGGUAACAGGAAGAAGCUUGCUUCUUUGCUGACGAGUGGCGGACGGGUGAGUAAUGUCUGGGAAACUGCCUGAUGGAGGGGGAUAACUACUGGAAACGGUAGCUAAUACCGCAUAAUGUCGCAAGACCAAAGAGGGGGACCUUCGGGCCUCUUGCCAUCGGAUGUGCCCAGAUGGGAUUAGCUAGUAGGUGGGGUAACGGCUCACCUAGGCGACGAUCCCUAGCUGGUCUGAGAGGAUGACACGCCACACUGGAACUGAGACACGGUCCAGACUCCUACGGGAGGCAGCAGUGGGGAAUAUUGCACAAUGGGCGCAAGCCUGAUGCAGCUAUGCCGCGUGUAUGAAGAAGGCCUUCGGGUUGUAAAGUACUUUCAGCGGGGAGGAAGGGAGUAAAGUUAAUACCUUUGCUCAUUGACGUUACCCGCAGAAGAAGCACCGGCUAACUCCGUG